UUUGGGAAAUGAUGAUAAGAUAUCAAUAUGUCAUAGGCAUAUGCAAUGCUGAACUUAAUAUUUGCACGUCAGUCUGACCCCAGC
rfam:Brassica oleracea var. oleracea cultivar TO1000 chromosome C3, whole genome shotgun sequence